CUCCUUUCUCUGUUCUAGACUUAUGUUAAGUAUUUUAUAGAAAAUGUCAUUCAGUUCACAAUGACACUUGGCGAAGUGAUGUUUAUUUUCUUUCCUUACAUAGAGAAUAAUGUUUUCAGCCAUGAAAUAGCUUUAGUUGGUAAAGCAGACAAAUAUACAAAUCUUUCUGAAUAUUUCUGCAAAGUUAUGAUCUUAUUCACUUAUAGACACAGAUUCUUCAAGAGUAUCACUAUCUGGAUGAUACUGAGUCAUUCAGAGACUUCAAGGAGUGGCCAUGAGGGAAAAGAGCAUGGGGAACUAUCUUACAGGAGUUAUCCAGGAAGCUUCAGUAUUGUGGCAUACCUAUAUAACUUAGACAAACUCAGAAAAAGCCAGUCUGCAAACAGUCUGUAUAUGGAUUGCAAUACCUCUGUCCAAUCCAGCUUGAACUUUCAUCCAAUUUCCAGGGAAACCUUCUCUAACUAA
rnacentral:lncRNA from 1 species